AGAGUUUGAUCCUGGCUCAGGAUGAACGCUGGCGGUAUGCUUAAUACAUGCAAGUCGAGCGAGAGUCUUCGGACUCGAGCGGCGAACGGGUGAGUAACACGUAGGAAAUCUGCCGUAAAGACUGGGAUACCAGACCGAAAGGUUUGCUAAUACCGGAUAGGAAAUCGGAAGGCAUCUUCUGAUUUUGAAAGUCGCGUUUGCGACACUUUAUGAUGAUCCUGCGGCGCAUUAGUUAGUUGGUGAGAUAACAGCCCACCAAGACGAGGAUGCGUAGCCGACCUGAGAGGGUGAUCGGCCACAAUGGAACUGAGACACGGUCCAUACUCCUACGGGAGGCAGCAGUAAGGAGUUUUCGGCAAUGGGGGCAACCCUGACCGAGCAAUACCGCGUGUGCGAUGAAGGUCUUCGGAUCGUAAAGCACUGUUGUAAGGGAAGAAAGGUAGUAUCAGGAAAUGGGUAUUACUUGACCGUACCUUACGAGGAAGCCACGGCUAACUACGUGCCAGCAGCCGCGGUAAUACGUAGGUGGCAAGCGUUAUCCGGAAUUAUUGGGCGUAAAGAGUGAGCAGGCGGCCUUUUAAGUCUGAAGUCAAAUGCAGUAGCUUAACUACUGUUCGCUUUGGAAACUGGAAGGCUAGAGUUCGGGAGAGGUAAAUGGAACUUCAUGUGUAGCGGUGAAAUGCGUAGAUAUAUGAAAGAACACCAGUGGCGAAGGCGAUUUACUAGACCGAUACUGACGCUCAGUCACGAAAGCGUGGGUAGCAAAUAGGAUUAGAUACCCUAGUAGUCCACGCCGUAAACGAUGAGUACUAAUUGUAGGGGAUACCCUGCGAUGAAGCUAACGCAUUAAGUACUCCGCCUGGGUAGUACGUUCGCAAGAAUGAAACUUAAAGGAAUUGACGGGGGCCCGCACAAGCAGUGGAGCAUGUGGUUUAAUUCGACGCUACGCGAAGAACCUUACCAGGACUUGACAUGGAAUUGAAAACCUCAGAGAUGAGGCCAUAGUUACAGUUCACACAGGUGGUGCAUGGUUGUCGUCAGCUCGUGUCGUGAGAUGUUGGGUUAAGUCCCGCAACGAGCGCAACCCUUGUCCUUAGUUACCAUCAUUAAGUUGGGGACUCUAAGGAGACCGCCGGUACAAACCGGAGGAAGAUGGGGAUGACGUCAAAUCAUCAUGCCCUUUAUGUCCUGGGCGACACACGUGCUACAAUGGCCGGUACAAAGAGAUGCAAACCCGCGAGGGCAAGCCAAACUCAUAAAGCCGGUCUCAGUUCGGACUGGAGUCUGCAACUCGACUCUACGAAGCUGGAAUUGCUAGUAAUCGCGAAUCAGCCAUGUCGCGGUGAAUACGUUCCCGGGCCUUGUACACACCGCCCGUCAAACCAUGAGAGCUGGUAAUACUCGAAGUCGUUAUCCUAACCGCAAGGAGGGAGACGCCUAAGGUAGGACUGGUGAUUGGGGUUAAGUCGUAACAAGGUAUCCCUACGGGAACGUGGGGAUG
rnacentral:rRNA from 1 species